AUUGAACGCUGGCGGCAGGCCUAACACAUGCAAGUCGAACGGUAACAGGAAGAAGCUUGCUUCUUUGCUGACGAGUGGCGGACGGGUGAGUCAUGUCUGGGAAACUGCCUGAUGGAGGGGGAUAACUACUGGAAACGGUAGCUAAUACCGCAUAACGUCGCAAGCCCAAAGAGGGGGACCUUCGGGCCUCUUGCCAUCGGAUGUGCCCAGAUGGGAUUAGCUAGUAGGUGGGGUAACGGCUCACCUAGGCGACGAUCCCUAGCUGGUCUGAGAGGAUGACCAGCCACACUGGAACUGAGACACGGUCCAGACUCCUACGGGAGGCAGCAGUGGGGAAUAUUGCACAAUGGGCGCAAGCCUGAUGCAGCCAUGCCGCGUGUAUGAAGAAGGCCCUCGGGUUGUAAAGUACUUUCAGCGGGGAGGAAGGGAGUAAAGUUAAUACCUUUGCUCAUUGACGUUACCCGCAGAAGAAGCACCGGCUAACUCCGUG
rnacentral:rRNA from 1 species